AAGUCGUAACAAGGUUUCCGUAGGUGAACCUGCGGAAGGAUCAUUAUAGAGACGAGGACUCGCGCCUCCGCACGGGGCGGGCUCAGGCCCGUACCCGGCCUCUACACCCUGUGUUUACACACCUUUGUUGCUUUGGCGGGCCCCGGGGCUUGCUCCGUCUCAGCCUUGGGCCUCACGGCCCGAGCUGAGGUGCGUCCGCCAGAGGCCCAUUAAAUUCUGUUUAUUAGUGACGUCCGAGUUCAAACACAAUAGUUAAAAC
rnacentral:misc_RNA from 1 species